rnacentral:tRNA from 1 species
GGCAAGAUGGCCGAGUGGUCUAAGGCGUAGCAUUAAGGAAGAUAUUCUGAGCAUUCAGGAAAAUCUGCUAUCUUCGGGCGUGGGUUCGAAUCCCACUCUUGUCA